rnacentral:sRNA from 1 species
UCUUUAUGGUCAUACAAUCGAAAGGGU